rnacentral:lncRNA from 1 species
ACGUUUUCUCCGUCCCCGGUGACUUCAACCUCACCCUUCUCGACCACUUGAUCGCUGAGCCCGAGCUCAACCUUGUUGGUUGCUGUAACGAGCUCAACGCCGGCUACGCUGCGGAUGGAUACGCCCGGUCGCGUGGCGUUGGCGCUUGUGUUGUCACGUUCACUGUUGGGGGACUCAGUGUGCUGAAUGCUAUUGCUGGUGCUUACAGUGAGAAUUUGCCUGUCAUAUGCAUUGUUGGUGGGCCCA